AUAUUGACAUUAGCCGUGUUAGCAAUCUAGUAUGAUAUGUAGAAGUCUGUGCUAUACAGGGUAAUUCAGAAAUAUUUAUCUAAACUUUAAGGGGAUACUUAAAAGCCCUAGUUUAUGCAACUGAAAUUGCAAAUGAAGAGACGGUUCAUCAACGCAUCAAAGAUGCCUGUGAAACCAUUUGCAAUCAUCAUGGGAUCUUUGAAAGGGUGUGACAGUCCAUGAUCCGAUGUGUCCAUGUGUGCACUGAAGCAGGUGGAGGACAUUAUGAAUAUUUAUUGUGAAUUGUAAGUAGAUAAAUAAUUGAACUGUGUGUGUGUGAAGAUAUAUUACAUUGGUCAUGUGUCAUUAUAGAUAUAUUCUGUCAGUUUUUGUCGUUGAAAUCUUUCAUUUAUAACUCAUAUACCAGACAUUACCGGACAUAUGUGUAUAUGGAUUUUUUUCUUGUAUAUGUAUGGAGAACUCACUCCUAAAGUUCGUAUAAGUAUUUCUGAAUCACUCUGCAUAUAACCCAAUAUAUUUUGUCCUCCUUUAUGGCUAUCUUUACAUCACCUUUAACAUUGUUGUUAGAGGUCCAUAAUAUAUAGAAAUCUAUGACAUUCAAUCAACAAUAAGUAAUUCCUUAAAAAAAAUGCAAUUAUAUUUAUCCGUGCAUUGCUAUAUUAAAAAAAAAAAAA